UGGGGAAUAUUGCACAAUGGGCGAAAGCCUGAUGCAGCAACGCCGCGUGAGUGAUGAAGGUCUUCGGAUUGUAAAGCUCUGUCUUUUGGGACGAUAAUGACGGUACCAAAGGAGGAAGCCACGGCUAACUACGUGCCAGCACCGCGGUAAUACGUAGGUGGCGAGCGUUGUCCGGAUUUACUGGGCGUAAAGGGUGCGUAGGCGGAUGUUUAAGUGAGAUGUGAAAUACCCGGGCUUAACUUGGGUGCUGCAUUUCAAAGCUGGAUAUCUAGAGUGGCAGGAGA
rnacentral:rRNA from 1 species